GGUGGGGGGGAGGUCCCUCAGCCCAGAUUACGAGAGGGCACAGGCCAGGCUGAGGGAUCCCAACGGUGCAGG
rnacentral:pre_miRNA from 1 species